CACGUAGGGCGCAAGCGUUGUCCGGAAUUAUUGGGCGUAAAGAGCUCGUAGGCGGUCUGUUGCGUCUGCUGUGAAAACCCGGGGCUUAACCCCUGGCUUGCAGUGGAUACGGACAGACUAGAGGUAGGUAGGGGAGAAUGGAAUUCCCGGUGUAGCGGUGAAAUGCGUAGAUAUCCGGAGGAACACCGGUGGCGAAGGCGGCUUCCUGGACCGACACUGACGCUGAGGCGCGAAAGCUAGGGGAGCAAACGGG
rnacentral:rRNA from 1 species